rnacentral:rRNA from 1 species
UACGAAGGGGGCUAGCGUUGCUCGGAAUGACUGGGCGUAAAGGGCGCGUAGGCGGUUUGUACAGUCAGGUGUGAAAUUCCCGGCUCAACCUGGGGGCUGCACUUGAUACGUAGGAACUUGAGUGGGGAAGAGGGUCGUGGAAUUCCCAGUGUAGAGGUGAAAUUCGUAGAUAUUGGGAAGAAACACCGGUGGCGAAGGCGGCGACCUGGUCCUUGACUGACGCUGAGGCGCGAAAGCGUGGGGAGCAAACAGG